CACGUAGGGCGCAAGCGUUGUCCGGAAUUAUUGGGCGUAAAGAGCUCGUAGGCGGACUGUCACGUCUGCUGUGAAAAGCUGGGGCUUAACCCUGGCCUUGCAGUGGAUACGGGCAGACUAGAGGUAGGUAGGGGAGAAUGGAAUUCCCGGUGUAGCGGUGAAAUGCGCAGAUAUCGGGAGGAACACCGGUGGCGAAGGCAGCCUCCUGGGCCAACACUGACGCUCAUGCACGAAAGCGUGGGGAGCAAACAGG
rnacentral:rRNA from 1 species